rnacentral:rRNA from 1 species
UACGGAGGGUGCGAGCGUUGUCCGGAAUCACUGGGCGUAAAGGGCGCGUAGGCGGCCGUGUAAGUCACCUGUGAAAUCCCGGGGCUCAACUCCGGGGCUGCAGGUGAGACUGCGUGGCUAGAGCACGGUAGAGGCGAGUGGAAUUCCCGGUGUAGCGGUGGAAUGCGUAGAUAUCGGGAAGAACACCGGUGGCGAAGGCGGCUCGCUGGGCCGUUGCUGACGCUGAGGCACGAGAGCGUGGGGAGCGAACCGG